rnacentral:pre_miRNA from 1 species
UAGUUUUGUACUAAGUCAAACAUCUCUAACUUAAACCAAGUUUAUAGAAAAAUGUAUUAACAUCUACAAUCUCAAAUAAAUGCACCAUCAAGACAUAUUUCAUGGUGGAUUUAAUGAAACUAAUUUGAUGCUGUAGAUAUUGGUGCAUUUUUCUAUAAACUUGGUCAAAGUAAGAUAGCAUUUCACUUAGAAUAACUAAAA